rnacentral:tRNA from 1 species
AGUUAAUGAACUUGUGUAUAAAGUAUAUAUUUUGAAAAUAUAAAAAAGAGAUUUUCUAUUAACUU